ACGAACGCUGGCGGCACGCUUAACACAUGCAAGUCGAACGAGAGAAGAGAAGCUUGCUUUUCUGAUCUAGUGGCGGACGGGUGAGUAACACGUGAGCAAUCUGCCUUUCAGAGGGGGAUACCGAUUGGAAACGAUCGUUAAUACCGCAUAACAUAAUUGAACCGCAUGAUUUGAUUAUCAAAGAUUUAUCGCUGAAAGAUGAGCUCGCGUCUGAUUAGCUAGUUGGUAAGGUAACGGCUUACCAAGGCGACGAUCAGUAGCCGGACUGAGAGGUUGAUCGGCCACAUUGGGACUGAGACACGGCCCAGACUCCUACGGGAGGCAGCAGUGGGGAAUAUUGCACAAUGGAGGAAACUCUGAUGCAGCGAUGCCGCGUGAGGGAAGAAGGUUUUAGGAUUGUAAACCUCUGUCUUCAGGGACGAAAAAUGACGGUACCUGAGGAGGAAGCUCCGGCUAACUACGUGCCAGCAGCCGCGGUAAUACGUAGGGAGCGAGCGUUGUCCGGAAUUACUGGGUGUAAAGGGAGCGUAGGCGGGAUCGCAAGUCAGAUGUGAAAACUAUGGGCUUAACCCAUAAACUGCAUUUGAAACUGUGGUUCUUGAGUGAAGUAGAGGUAAGCGGAAUUCCUAGUGUAGCGGUGAAAUGCGUAGAUAUUAGGAGGAACAUCAGUGGCGAAGGCGGCUUACUGGGCUUUAACUGACGCUGAGGCUCGAAAGCGUGGGGAGCAAACAGGAUUAGAUACCCUGGUAGUCCACGCCGUAAACGAUGAUUACUAGGUGUGGGGGGACUGACCCCUUCCGUGCCGCAGCAAACGCAAUAAGUAAUCCACCUGGGGAGUACGACCGCAAGGUUGAAACUCAAAGGAAUUGACGGGGGCCCGCACAAGCAGUGGAGUAUGUGGAUUAAUUCGAAGCAACGCGAAGAACCUUACCAGGUCUUGACAUCGUAUGCAUAGCUCAGAGAUGAGUGAAAUCUCUUCGGAGACAUAUAGACAGGUGGUGCAUGGUUGUCGUCAGCUCGUGUCGUGAGAUGUUGGGUUAAGUCCCGCAACGAGCGCAACCCUUACUGUUAGUUGCUACGCAAGAACACUCUAGCAGGACUGCCGUUGACAAAACGGAGGAAGGUGGGGAUGACGUCAAAUCAUCAUGCCCCUUAUGACCUGGGCCUCACACGUACUACAAUGGCUGUCAACAGAGGGAAGCAAAGCCGCGAGGUGGAGCAAACCCCUAAAAGCAGUCUUAGUUCGGAUUGUAGGCUGCAACCCGCCUACAUGAAGUCGGAAUUGCUAGUAAUCGCAGAUCAGCAUGCUGCGGUGAAUACGUUCCCGGGCCUUGUACACACCGCCCGUCACGCCAUGGGAGUCGGUAACACCCGAAGCCUGUAGUCUAACCGCAAGGAGGACGCAGUCGAAGGUGGGAUUGAUGACUGGGGUG
rnacentral:rRNA from 1 species